rnacentral:rRNA from 1 species
GACGUAGGGGGCGAGCGUUAUUCGGAAUUAUUGGGCGUAAAGCGCUCGUAGGCGGGACUGCAAGUCCGUGUUGAAAGACCUCGGCUCAACUGAGGGACCGGCUCGGAUACUGUGGUUCUUGAGGCAAUCAGAGGGUGAUGGAAUUCCCGGUGUAGCGGUGAAAAUGCGUAGAUAUCGGGAGGAACACCAGUGGCGAAGGCGAUCACCUGGGAUUGUUCUGACGCUGAGGAGCGAAAGCUAGGGGAGCAAACGGGG